ensembl:lncRNA
AGUGAUAGUUCAAGGAAGUGGUAGCUCAGGGAAGUGGUAGCUCAGGAAGUGGUAGCUCAAGGACGUUGUAGGUCAGGGAAGUGGUAGUUCAAGGAAGUAUUAGCUCAGGAAGUGGUAGGUCAGCAAAGUGGUAGCUCAGGGAAGUGGUCACAAAGGGAAGUGGUAGGUCAGGGAAGUGGUCACAACGGGAAGUGGUAGCUCAGGGAAGUAGUAGGUCAGGGAAGUGGUCACAAAGGGAAGUGGUAGGUCAGCGAAGUGGUCACAAAGGGAAGUGGUAGGUCAGGGAAGUAGUAGGUCAGGGAAGUGGUCACAAAGGGAAGUGGUAGGUCAGGGAAGUGGUAGGUCAGGGAAGUGGUAGGUCAGGGAAGUGGUCACAAAGGGAAGUGGUAGGUCAGGGAAGUAGUAGAUCAGGGAAGUGGUCACAAAGGGAAGUGGUAGGUCAGGGAAGUAGUAGAUCAGGGAAGUUGUCACAAAGGGAAGUAGUAGGUCAGGGAAGUGGUAGGUCAGGGAAGUGGUCACAAAGGGAAGUGGUAGGUCAGGGAAGUGGUCACAAAGGGAAGUGGUAGGUCAGGGAAGUAGUAGGUCAGGGAAGUGGUCACAAAGGGAAGUGGUAGGUCAGCGAAGUGGUCACAAAGGGAAGUGGUAGGUCAGGGAAGUGGUAGGUCAGCGAAGUGGUCACAAAGGGAAGUGGUAGGUCAGGGAAGUGGUCACAAAGGGAAGUGGUAGGUCA